rnacentral:rRNA from 1 species
AACGAACGCUGGCGGCAGGCCUAACACAUGCAAGUCGAACGCUCCGCAAGGGGAGUGGCGCACGGGUGAGUAACACGUGGGAACCUACCUUCUGGUACGGAACAACCAAGGGAAACUUUGGCUAAGACCGUAUACGACCUCCGGGUGAAAGAUUGAUCGCCGGAAGAGGGGCCCGCGUCCGAUUAGGUAGUUGGUGAGGUAACGGCUCACCAAGCCUUCGAUCGGUAGCUGGUCUGAGAGGAUGACCAGCCACACUGGGACUGAGACACGGCCCAGACUCCUACGGAGGCAGCAGUGGGGAAUAUUGGACAAUGGGCGCAAGCCUGAUCCAGCCAUGCCGCGUGAGUGAUGAAGGCCU